rnacentral:rRNA from 1 species
UCCACGCCAGCUAGCUCGACCAUUAAAAUGAAACAAUUCAAUAUUAAUAAACCUCAAUAUACACAACAUGAAAUUAAAUAAACCAUUUUUCCCCCUUAGUAUGGGAGACAGAAAAGGAACAAGGAGCAAUAGAGAAAGUACCGCAAGGGAAAGCUGAAAGAGAAAUGAAACAACCAAAAAGGAAUAAGAAGCAGAGAUUAUUACUCGUACCUUUUGCAUCAUGAGUUAGCUAGCAAACCCUAAGCAAAGAGAACUUUAGUUUAGAGCCCCGAAACUAAGUGAGCUACUCCAAGACAGCCUAUAUAGGGCGAACCCGUCUCUGUGGCAAAAGAGUGGGGAGAGCUUUGAGUAGAGGUGACAGACCUACCGAACUUAGUUAUAGCUGGUUGCCUAAGAAAUGAAUAGAAGUUCAGCCUUUUGAUUUCUCCCUUCCAGUCCGGCAACGCCUUAUUCUGAUUAAGAGAAAGUUAAAAGAGUUAGUCGAGGGGGGUACAGCCCCCUCGAGACAAGAUACAACUUUAUAUAGGAGGAAAAGGAUCAAAAUAUUUUAGGUAAUAUGUUUUAGUGGGCUUAAUGGCAGCCACCAAACUAGAAAGCGUUAAAGCUCUAACAUACAAUCACCUAUUAUCACGACAAUUAAAUCCUAAACCCCUUUAAAUAUUAGGCCAACCCAUGUCCACAUGGGAGAGAUCCUGCUAAUAUGAGUAAUAAGAGGGUCAAGGCCCUCUCCUGGCACUAGUGUAUAUCAGAACGAACCCUUACUGAAAAUUAACGCCCCCAACUAAAGAGGGUAUUAGGAGACAUGUAAUCUAAAACUAGAAAAAUCCCUAAAGAUGAAGCGUUGACCCUACACAGGUGUGCCCCAGGAAAGACUAAAAGGAAAAGAAGGAACUCGGCAAACACUAACCUCGCCUGUUUACCAAAAACAUCGCCUCUUGCAUGAAUAGUAUAAGAGGUCCCGCCUGCCCUGUGACAUAAGUUUAACGGCCGCGGUAUUUUAACCGUGCGAAGGUAGCGCAAUCACUUGUCUUUUAAAUGAAGACCUGUAUGAAUGGCAUAACGAGGGUUAAGCUGUCUCCUUUUCCUAGUCAAUGAAAUUGAUCUACCCGUGCAGAAGCGGGCAUACGCUCGUAAGACGAGAAGACCCUAUGGAGCUUACAGACACUAAGACAGGCCACGUCAAUAAACCUCUGAUAAAGGAAUAAACAAAGUGCUUACUGUUCAAUGUCUUUGGUUGGGGCGACCGCGGGGAAAUAACAAACCCCCAUGUGGAACAGGAAAACCCUUCCUUGAGAUUAGAGCCCCAGCUCUAAUAAACAGAAUUUCUGACCAAAAAGAUCCGGCAUGCCGAUCAACGGACCGAGUUACCCUAGGGAUAACAGCGCAAUCCCCUUUUAGAGCCCAUAUCGACAAGGGGGUUUACGACCUCGAUGUUGGAUCAGGACAUCCUAAUGGUGCAGCCGCUAUUAAGGGUUCGUUUGUUCAACGAUUAAAGUCCUACGUGAUCUGAGUUCAGACCGGAGAAAUCCAGGUCAGUUUCUAUCUACGUAAUGUUUUUCUCUAGUACGAAAGGGCCGAGAAAAAGAGGCCCAUGCCAAUGGUAAGCCUCCCCCCAACCUACUGAAAGAAACUAAAGUAGGCAAAAGGGCAUGCAGACUUGUCUGAGAGAAAGACAU